GCGGCGUGCCUAAUACAUGCAAGUCGAGCGAAGUUUUUCUGGUGCUUGCACUAGAAAAACUUAGCGGCGAACGGGUGAGUAACACGUAAAGAACCUGCCUCAUAGACUGGGACAACUAUUGGAAACGAUAGCUAAUACCGGAUAACAGUAUUUCUCGCAUGAGAGAUAUUUAAAAGUUGGUUAUGCUAACACUAUGAGAUGGCUUUGCGGUGCAUUAGCUAGUUGGUGGGGUAAAGGCCCACCAAGGCGACGAUGCAUAGCCGACCUGAGAGGGUGAUCGGCCACACUGGGACUGAGACACGGCCCAGACUCCUACGGGAGGCAGCAGUAGGGAAUCUUCCGCAAUGGGCGAAAGCCUGACGGAGCAACGCCGCGUGAGUGAAGAAGGAUUUCGGUUCGUAAAGCUCUGUUGUUAGGGAAGAAUGGAUAUGUAGUAACUAUACAUAUAAGA
rnacentral:rRNA from 1 species